rnacentral:rRNA from 1 species
AUACGGAGGAUGCGAGCGUUAUCCGGAUUUAUUGGGUUUAAAGGGAGCGUAGGUGGGAUAUUAAGUCAGCUGUGAAAGUUUGGGGCUCAACCUUGAAAUUGCAGUUGAUACUGGUUUCCUUGAGUACGGUACAGGUGGGCGGAAUUCGUGGUGUAGCGGUGAAAUGCUUAGAUAUCACGAAGAACUCCGAUCGCGAAGGCAGCUCACCGGGCCGGAACUGACACUGAUGCUCGAAAGUGCGGGUAUCAAACAGGAUUAGAUACCCUGGUAGUCCGCACAGUAAACGAUGAAUACUCGCUGUUUGCGAUACACUGUAAGCGGCCAAGCGAAAGCGUUAAGUACUCCACCUGGGGAGUACGCCGGCAACGGUGAAACUCAAAUGAAUUGACGGGG